GCAUAUCAAUAAGCGGAGGAAAAGAAACCAACAGGGAUUGCCCUAGUAACGGCGAGUGAAGCGGCAACAGCUCAAAUUUGAAAUCUGGCUCUUUUAGAGUCCGAGUUGUAAUUUGCAGAGGGCGCUUUGGCUUUGGCAGCGGUCCAAGUUCCUUGGAACAGGACGUCACAGAGGGUGAGAAUCCCGUACGUGGUCGCUGGCUAUUGCCGUGUAAAGCCCCUUCGACGAGUCGAGUUGUUUGGGAAUGCAGCUCUAAAUGGGAGGUACAUUUCUUCUAAAGCUAAAUAUUGGCCAGAGACCGAUAGCGCACAAGUAGAGUGAUCGAAAGAUGAAAAGCACUUUGGAAAGAGAGUCAAACAGCACGUGAAAUUGUUGAAAGGGAAGCGCUUGCAGCCAGACUUGCUUGCAGUUGCUCAUCCGGGUUUUUACCCGGUGCACUCUUCUGUAGGCAGGCCAGCAUCAGUUUGGGCGGUAGGAUAAAGGUCUCUGUCACGUACCUCCUUUCGGGGAGGCCUUAUAGGGGAGACGACAUACUACCAGCCUGGACUGAGGUCCGCGCAUCUGCUAGGAUGCUGGCGUAAUGGCUGUAAGCGGCCCGUCUUGAAACACGGACCAAGGAGUCUAACAUCUAUGCGAUGUUUGG
rnacentral:rRNA from 1 species